rnacentral:lncRNA from 1 species
CGCCGGCCGCUGCACCCCGCGCCAGCUCGCCCGUCGCCCACGGCCGUCGACCGUGCCGCACCCUCGCAUCGCCCUGGCCGCGUGGCCGCCGCCCGCGUCGCGACACCGCGCCCACCGGCUCGCAGUAGGAGGAGAGUUGAGCAGCAGCAUCAGCAGGUGCCAGCGAUUCCGGGGAGGCCAUUGCUGUUCCACAACUCGUCGAGCCCUGCACAUCUGCAGCUCAUCUGUGUGGGAAGUCGGUACCUUCCAAGUGGGAGGAUGCAGAGAAGUUUCUGAGGCAGGC